ensembl:rRNA 5S_rRNA 5S ribosomal RNA
AGCCACAGCCAUAUCACCCUGCAGCCCAAGACUGGUUGCCCACUGAAGCUAAGCAGGGUUGAGCCUGGUCAGUACCUGGAUGGGAGACCUCCUGGGAAAAUUAGGUUGUUGUUGGUA